CCUACGGGAGGCUGCAGUGGGGAAUAUUGCACAAUGGGGGAAACCCUGAUGCAGCGAUGCCGCGUGCGUGAAGAAGUAUCUCGGUACGUAAAGCUCUUUCAGCAGGAAAGAAAAUGACGGUACCUGACUACGAAGCCCCGGCGAAAUACGUGCCAGCAGCCGCGGUAAUACGGAGGGGGCAAGCGUUAUCCGGAUUUACUGGGUGUAAAGGGAGCGUAGACGGCGCUGCAAGUCCGGAGUGAAAGCGCAUGGCUUAACGAUGGAACUGCUCUGGAUACUGUAGAGCUUGAGUGCGGGAGGGGCAGGCGGAAUUCCUAGUGUAGCGGUGAAAUGCGUAGAGAUUAGGAGGAACACCGGCGGCGAAGGCGGCCUACUGGACCAUAACUGACGUUGAGGCUCGAAAGCGUGGGGAGCAAACAGGAUUAGAUACCCCUGUAGUC
rnacentral:rRNA from 1 species